rnacentral:tRNA from 1 species
CGGGACGUAGCGCAGCCCGGUAGCGCACUUGCAUGGGGUGCAAGGGGUCGUCGGUUCAAAUCCGGUCGUCCCGA